rnacentral:tRNA from 1 species
GUAGACAUAGUUUAGUUUAAAAACGUUAGAUUGUGAUUCUAAAAAUGGAGGUUAAAAUCCUCCUGUCCACC